CGGAGUAUAGCGCAGCUUGGUAGCGCGCUUGGUUCGGGACCAAGAGGUCGCAGGUUCGAAUCCUGUUACUCCGACCA
rnacentral:tRNA from 1 species